GGUGGGACAGCGGGAGUGUGUCAGUAGAACCAUGCCGACGGAGGGACGAUUUCAUCAGUGUCGGAUCCCUUCGGUCUCGCGAACCGUGUCUCCGUCCCUCGCGCCGGGCCCCGCCAAGUUCGAACCUAACCUGAAAUUCGGACCCUUUCCGACCUGGAUCUCGCCCCGCGGAACUCAUGCCUGGUUUGCUGGAUCAGGAGCCUGUGCGAGUGAUACAAUCAGCUGUGGAACUCUCUCUCUCUCGUCGGUGAGAGAAACAUAAUCGUGGCCAGUUAAAAGAAAUUAGAAUGAAAAUUUGGCUCAACACCCGGCCUUAUUUGAUAAAUGAAAUUAUGAAUUUUUAAAAUUUACAUCCAGAGCUGCCCGCGAGCUAAUCUCUCUCACCCGCUUUCAAUUUUACAUUUAAUCACCAGUUUGACGUUAACUGCAACAACAACGUACCAACGUACGUACAAGAGAACACAAGUGGCGCCUAAUCACCUUCAAUUUGUCGUGAUGCUGAUGUAAAGCUCAUGUGUUGAAUCUUUAAAUUUAAGCAAUAAUGUAGGUCAGUUCUAUCCUACCUACGGUGGUCCUAAGUGGUUUGGAGGUAGGACCAAGAAUACAGAACCACAGACUAAAUAAGGGUUCUUGACUCUGAGUCUUAAAUGCCCGCCGGGAAAACAAAUCAGAAUCGGAGCGCGUGGAUUCCUGCAAAUUUAGUGUGAAGGUGACCGGUUUGUAGUUCAUUUUAGAUCCGAACAAGGAUUCAAAGUGCCGAGGCUUUGAGACUCAUCGAAAACUCACUUAAAAAUCCAAGCGUGGAAAUUAUAGCCAGUGUUGUACCUAUUGCCGGAACCAGUUUAUCGCUGAAUUUUUGUUGGAAUAAGUUUACUUACCUCCAAAGCUUUCAAGAACGUUUGAUAAAAAAUUCAGAAAAAAUCCAGCAGAUUUAGCACAUACGUGCAGGAGUUAAUCGCUAAAUUUUUGUCUAAAUUUCGAGGCUGAAAAGAAAACAAAGAUCUAAGAGUGUGAAUACCUGUUGAUGGACCAAUUUUUUAUUAGAUCUUCAACUGAUUAAGAAUUUACUGUGAGGCAUUCAGGCUCUUAGAUAACAUAAUUUCAGAAUCCUAGCAAGAGUAUUUGAGCCGACUAAGCGUGACUAGGUGGUGGUUACGAUACCUGAUAAGUAAAAGUGAGGCGAAUAUGAGUGCGACGCGUUGGUUUUAAUCGCG
rnacentral:lncRNA from 1 species